rnacentral:rRNA from 1 species
GGCGGCAGGCCUAACACAUGCAAGUCGAGCGCCCGUAGCAAUACGGGAGCGGCAGACGGGAUAGUAACACGUGGGAACGUACCUUUCAGUUCGGAACAACCCAGGGAAACUUGGGCUAAUACCGAAUACGCCCGUAAGGGGAAAGAUUUAUCGCUGAAAGAUCGGCCCGCGUCUGAUUAGCUAGUUGGUGAGGUAACGGCUCACCAAGGCGACGAUCAGUAGCUGGUCUGAGAGGAUGAUCAGCAUCACUGGGACUGAGACACGGCCCAGACUCCUACGGGAGGCAGCAGUGGGGAAUAUUGGACAAUGGGCGCAAGCCUGAUCCAGCCAUGCCGCGUGGAUGAUGAAGGCCCUAGGGUUGUAAAGUCCUUUCGGCGGGGAAGAUAAUGACGGUACCCGCAGAAGAAGCCCCGGCUAACUUCGUGCCAGCAGCCGCGGUAAUACGAAGGGGGCUAGCGUUGCUCGGAAUCACUGGGCGUAAAGCGCACGU